rnacentral:rRNA from 1 species
AUGCAUUCACAUAUAGAUAGCUUAUUUGCAUCGUUCAACAAACUUUGUAGUCUCAAUGAUGAUGCAUACAUGUCAACUAUGGGUGUUGGCUCCAACAAUUCGCAUUGGUCUCAAACCAAUGACAUGCAUUUCGAAGACCACGAGUUCGAGGUGGACGAGGAGGGUGAGGGCAUUGUCGACGCGCCGAAAAGAAGAGCGGGCAAUUACACCAACGCCGGUGACAUCUUAAUAUGCAAUACUUGAUUGCAAGUGUCGAGGGAUCCAUCCGUUGGAGGUGAUCAAAGUCGAGAUGCUUAUUGGGGGCGGAUGAAAGAACACUUUGAUGUUCACAAUGUGAGUGAAAUUGACCGGUCCGAGAGAUCACUUCAGUCCCGAUGGUCGACAAUCAACUCGAAUUGUCAAAUGUGGGCGGCCUGUCAAAAGGCGGUUGACAAGUUGAACCCAAGUGGCACAAAUGAGGACGAUAGAGUAAGUGGCAUUUCAUACAUGUUCAUCAUACAUGUUCAUCAUACUUGUUGUUGGUGCUAA